ACUUGACCCUGCAUAUCAACUGUUUUUCCAUAGUAUUCUUAUUAAGCACCUACAUAAACCUGAGAAUUUUCCAACUGUCUGUUUCCUUUCAAUAAAGACUUUCAAUAAAGACCUAGAGAAUUCUCUUAUACCCUAACCUGCUCCAUAAAUUGCAGGUUUUUGAACUUUGUUUGCUCUCAAUCAAGAGAUUGGAUAUGUUUGGAAGGAUUUCGCUCCUUUUCUUACCAUCAUCAUGUGGCUGCCUCUUACUUUCUCUAAUUCGUGUCCAUGCUAUGGUAUUUCAUUUCAUUGCUACUUCUAACAUCACACAAUGGAGUGUCAGCCUUCUCAGGUUACAUGUUGCAAAGUGGAUGCUAUUCUCAUACGGUUUAUAUUAUCCAUAUCCAAUUUUACUUGCUCAACAAUGAAGGCGCAACAGCAAGCGACACCCUCCAUUGAUCCGCAAAGAGAUUGAUUUACCUUUAUAGUUUUUAAACAUUGUUUCAGUUAAUUCUUGUAUGACCGCAAGGCGUUGGCAUAUUGUGAUUUUGUAUGGCCGCAAGUAGUUUAGAUGGUUCAAUGGUUUCAGACCAACAUAUAGUGGUCUUGAUUGUAUUGGAAUAUAUUAUUAUUGUACAUGGAUGACUAUUUAAUUUUGGUUCCAAACUCGCAUCACAGAGUUUGAAUACCA